rnacentral:lncRNA from 1 species
UAAUAAGAACUGUCUUAGGUUUUAUCUCCCCUAGGUUUUAGGGAGUUUAGUUCAUAAUAAUGGAAAACAUCUCAAAAUUGGGAAAACAACAAAACAUAAAGAAACCCAAAGAACGUUUAAGGGAAUUGAAUGGAGAUAUUCAGUCUUGAAGUAGAUCCUACUUUCGAGUUGAUUCUGAUGGCUGUCCUUGAGUAUUUUCUCCUUUCUACUCUGC